rnacentral:ncRNA from 1 species
CCGCAUACUGUAACUAAAGACUGAAAGCGUGGGUGACAAGCGCAUCGGCUUGUUUAAGGUCAAGGAUUUGCGGUUAUAUACGAU